UAAUUAGGGUGGCAACACGGAAAUUUCGUCCCUUACAUAGUUAAGUACUAUGUAAGGGGCUUUUUUUAUUGCAUGAAACUCAAACUCGAAGUUUAAAAUUCUUAGUUUUUAAACGUUUUUGCUAAAUGACAACUUUAAUUAUCUAAUUUCCUAACAGCUGACUCCUAGGGGAGUAGCGUGCGUCCGGAGACUACAGGCUCCGGCCACGCCUCAGGAAAGCAUGCUGUUAAGGAAAUUAGGGUGAAUUAAAUACUUUAA
rnacentral:ncRNA from 1 species